UGCUGAGAAGGCUUUCAGGUGGCGGUGGGACUCCGGCCUUGCUUGUGUUGUUUUUUUGUGUGUUAGUUUUCUAAAUGGAAACGCAACAGCGCCCGCNNNNNNNNGCCCCCGCCGAGGCCGCCUUGGCUCAAGCCAUCGUUCUUUCUGCGUUUUAAAGGACAAUAGAGGUAUGUGUGGGGGGCGGGGCGGGGGGGGAGUGUGGAGGAGGGGGUCGUAAAAGGAAGUUGUUUCCGCCCGGUUUCGAACCGGGGACCUUUCGCGUGUGAGGCGAACGUGAUAACCACUACACUACGGAAACGAGGCAGGCGGCUGGGUCUCCGGCUCUAACCCUCAAAAGCGGCAUUUCGGCCACACCCGUUGGGCCCGCCGACUUCGCUUGAACUGCCCAAGGCCCUGAAAGCAGCCGCGCCCCUGCGGGCGAGGAGCCCGCGCUCCCGGAGCGGUCCCGGCAAAGGACCCCGCGCCUCCCCUGAGGACGGGACCCUGGCGCCCUCAGCAGCCUGGCCUCGGGAACCGCACCGAACGCAGGGUGUCCGCCUCCAGGACGAGGGACCCCAGGGCAGACGUCGGGUGCACGCUCUUCCUCUGCCAGCCCUUUGGCUCUGCGCCGCUCCGCGGCCCUCCUGGCAGAGGGGUCCUUCCGAUUCCUGCCGCCAUCGCUUAUUCUACUCGGCUCCUUUAGUCCAAUAUUUUAAUCAUGCCUGUGUGUUUUAGUCAGUACCGUAGCAAAGGCCACAUCUUAGGACAUUUGGCUGUUUUAAAAUAUCGAACACGAAUACAGGCCAAUCCACGAUUCCCGGCCUGGAAUGAAUUCGUUCCAAGACCACAUAGAGUAAGUAUAAAUCUAUUCAGGAGCCAGGGACAGUGCACGCAGAUUUCAUGAUUAUUCGAUUUCCUCCUCAUCCCUCUUGAGAUUCGUUUUGAAGAACAGUUUUGUUUUACCUUUCACAAUACCUGACACUUCUUUUAUUUGCCUUUUAUAAUUUUCCCGUUCAACAGGUCAAGGAAUGCGAUUUUUAACCUAGGACAGGUCAAGAGGUAAAGGCGGUUUUCACAGAAAGCAUGUGCCUGGAGGGGUUUUCAAGCUCACCUCACAGCAAAAUGCUAGCCGACCAAUGCUGGGAAAGACUAAUGUUCUUUCUUUCUUUGCUUUUCUUUCUUGUCCCUCUCCCCUUUUCUCUUUUUCCUUUAGAAGUACAGCUUAAGAAGUUUAGCGAAGAAUAUGCCAUUUUCUCCAGCGGUUGAUGUUAGUGCAAUGGUUACCGCGUGGCCUUCUCGCUCAAAGUUCAAGUGCUCCAACCCGAAGGAAGUGCGGGCAGCAUACUCACUGGACACCAGCCCACAGUGCUCUGCUUUGUUCUGCUUUGGCUCAAAAUGCAGUUAGGGAUGCACCAUCGUCACCAGAAACCGGAGGACCUGCUUCCAAAAGAUGUGGCCUUCAAAGUAGCUUUCCAUCAUUGAAUUUCUCUAGGUCACCCUCCCCCCUUUCCUUCCCUCCAAAUUCUAUUUUUCUCCUACCACCCCCAGCCAGGGGAGAGGAUUCACUGUCUUUCUGUCGUGUCCGGACCCUCUGUGGUUGUACGUGGACAGGAGGAAGGAGUAUUUGAACCUUCCCCUCCAGGAGCAAGACGUGCAGUCGGGGCUGGAGAACCACAAACUAAUACACUUGGAUCAGCUGGGUUCUCGCAAACCCAGUCGAGCGGUCCUUGGAGCCUCUCUGUUGGCUGAAACGGAAGGCACGUGGGAUUCCACACCCCGCAAGAGGAGCUACGCUGAGGGGCCCCGGCCCUAACCCCUUGCCCUCGAGGACAGGCCUGGAAGAGGGACAGAGCCGCCCCCUCACUCCC
rnacentral:tRNA from 1 species